rnacentral:misc_RNA from 1 species
AGUAACCUAGCUAGAAAUCUUUUGAUUAUGUUUAUUACUUUUCAUCCAUAGUGGGGAAGAGGAAUUAUUUUUGGACAUGAAUAAACCUUUUUUUUUUGGUUGUAGAGCAAAUUCUUUCAUGUGGAAAUAUUAAUCUAGUAAAAAAGUGUUGUAUUUCUUCUCUCUUGGUCUAAAAAAUGGCUAUACAUCUUAAAGCAUUAAUCUUGUUUCAUAGAUAAGAUGCAUGGAAAUGAAAA